rnacentral:lncRNA from 1 species
GGCGUGCCAGUAUUUAAAGACCGUUCGAGAAGGGGUAAAGGCAGGAUUUUUACUGCGCAAUCUACAUGAAUUUCGGGGGAGUGGUUGUCUCAGGCGCCCGUUUCGAAACGAUUGCAAUCAUCAGGUAGGAGACCGCGAAAUGGAAGGAUAUUUUUAAUGCAUUUGUUUCGGAGGAGAAGUUGAAAAGGAAUUUCGAAGUCAAAGCUAUGUUUUACUCCGAAACUGGGGGGCAUGU